GACGAACGCUGGCGGCGUGCUUAACACAUGCAAGUCGAACGGGGUCCUGGUUGGUGGCAACACCUUCCAGUACCUAGUGGCGAACGGGUGAGGAACACGUGAGCAACCCACCCCGAACUCUGGGAUAACAGCGGGAAACCGCUGCUAAUACCGGAUACCUUCCUGCGGUCGCAUGGCCGCGCGAAGAAAGGGUUACUGGUUCGGGACGGGCUCGCGGCCUAUCAGCUUGUUGGUGGGGUAACGGCCUACCAAGGCUUCGACGGGUAGCUGGUCUGAGAGGAUGAUCAGCCACACUGGGACUGAGACACGGCCCAGACUCCUACGGGAGGCAGCAGUGGGGAAUAUUGCACAAUGGGCGCAAGCCUGAUGCAGCAACGCCGCGUGAGGGACGACGGCCUUCGGGUUGUAAACCUCUUUUAGCAGGGAAGAAGCGAAAGUGACGGUACCUGCAGAAAAAGCACCGGCUAACUACGUGCCAGCAGCCGCAGUAACAC
rnacentral:rRNA from 1 species